UGGGGCGUCGCCAAGUGGUAAGGCGGCGGUUUUUGACCCCCCCAUCCGUUGGUUCGAAUCCAGCCGCCCCUGCCA
rnacentral:tRNA from 1 species